AAAAAAAAAAAAAAAUCAUAAAGAAAGAGACAGAAAGUAUAAUAUAUAAUAUAUAAUUUAUAAGAGGGUGGACCAAAUUGAAUAAGGUAAUCCAAGAAAUUUAUUGAUAACUGCAAAUCUCUACUACGUGACAUGUUGUACAACUAAUGGGUUUUACAUUUGUCAUUAAUAUAACACACAUUGAUAAAUUCCCACGUGAUGUAUACACAAGAGAAAUUACGAAAAUCUCUCUGUAAACAACUUUUUUUAUUUCUAUAUUAUAUAUAUAUAUAUAUAUAUAAUAAAACUAAACUCAAUAUUACUAUCAUUAUGUUUUACAUGCAAACAAAAUUUUUAUGUACUUUAUGUACUUAAUAACAAUGUAUUUGAAAACCAUAACAAUUUAUGUAUAUUAGUAGUUUACAAUAUAUAACAAAUUGCAAUCGAGUAUAUAUUGUUAUGGCUGUUAAAUUUUGUUUUAAAACAUUUUUACAAACAUCGGUAUUGAAUUGUAUAUAAACUUGAUAAAUUGUUACAUGUUAAACACAUAUCUCUAUCAUUGUUAUUAUCAUUAAUAGACGUACAGAUAAACGAAUUCAUAUUCAAUCAAAAAUUUUACGAUAAUAACAAUUUGUCGAUUCUCAAGAUAGAAGAAAAAAAAAAUAAAAAAAAAAAGACAAAUGUAACAUAACUUGCAUAUGCAGAUAACAUGAAUAUACAAAUAUUUUAUU